UUACAUCAAGUAGUUCAAACCACUUAGGCUACAUUUGACUGUACAUCACAAUCAAGCUAAUUAGUGAUUUUGCAUAAGUUUUUUUGAAAAAAGAGAGUCGUGGCUUUAUAUUAAUCUGUGUCUCCAUGUGUUUUGAAGAAUAGUUAACUUGUGUUUUGAAGAAUAGUUAACUUCCAAGAAUGAUGGAAAUGAAAUUCAAAAUCCUUUGGUUCCUUACAUUGAGUAGAGCUUUUGCAAAGAUUGUCUUUUUCCCCUCAUCUUCUAUUCACUGUUUUAAACUGCUAUCUUCCUUAAGAAAUAAAAACCUUAUUUAGAAAUUAACAUUUUGAAGAAAUAACAAAAUUUAUGAUUAGAGCGGACCACUUAAAUACAGGUGCAGAUCUCAAUAGCCUAAGAAAAAAAAUCCAAGGGAGGAGAUCAUGCUGCCCAGCUACCUAAGAUGAAUCUAGAUUAGCUCCUUGGGAGUGAUAAAAACAAAACAAACUAACACUCAAGGUAAUAGGCCUUAAUGCAUAGCUCCUAGAGGAGGUAUUCCUGAUAAGUAAAGGUUUGUGAUUGGAGCAAAUCACCUCACACAGAUGUACACAAACACAUGCACGCAUACAGGCACACACUAAAAGAAAGGGAACAGAUGGGGUUGGACAUGGGAGGAAAUCAGACUACCCAGCCAUCGAAAAUAAACAUAGCCUAGCUCCUUGGGCAUCCUGAAAACCAUACAAACAAGCAAUUAAUGUGCUAAGAUUAAUGUAUACUUCCUAUAGGAGGCCUCCCAACUCCACGGGAGUGCCAAAAAUAAAUCAAACAAGAACCCAAGGUGGUAGCCUUCAAGAGAAAUAAACAGUAUUCUUCAGUUUGCACGUGUAAACUAAAAUCAACUUUGGCAAGAUCUAAGAAUGUGAUCAAAUCUCCAGUUUAUAUGCAUCUAACUCUCCAAAGUCAUGAGAUGCACGCAUCAACUACACCAGAGUCCACCAAGUAGUGCAUCUGGAAGUGUCAGGAGAGAUAAAAAUUCUGUUUGUUGUCUUGCAUCAUCAUCUAUGUUCUCUGCUCAACCAUGUGGGCCUAAGAUAUAGCGAACACACAAAGAAGAGUACUAUUCAAUUUAAACAAGUGCUCUCUCGCUAAGAUUUUUUUUUUAAUUUAUUGAAACUGCAUAGUGUAUGUCUGGAAAACCUAAUUACUAUUCGCAAGCGGCUGCUGAAGUCUCAUGAGGGUCACAAUUCAGAUCCUUACCGACAAGACCAUUGAAAACAAUGGCUUUUUAUAACAAACAAAGAGAAAUCACCGAUAAUCAAAACAUCCCCUCAAGGCUCAUGCAAGGCAUGACGAAUCCAAACUGGAACUCGGGCAUCUUUAGGUGAACAAAUAUUUGCAUACGUAAAAACCUUAUCUUGAAACAAGCAUGAGUUUUUGUCAUCUGAUUUUGAAAUUGCCGCACCGUUAUGAAAACCUAACACUUUUUUUUUCUAAUCAAAACCAAAAAAACCCCGCAUACGUUUCAUGAUUUCGGAAAUAAAAAAAGGAGAUACGGGGAGAAAAAAACUCACGUCCCAUCAUGAUCUAUCAUAGAUUUGCCAGCUGAUUGAUCAUCAAAAAGAACCCCCCGACCCGAGAGAGAGAGAGAGAGAUCGAGAUGAUAGAUCGAACGAUGCCAGUAAGUUCCAUUGAACCACAAAAAACGCUUCCUAAAACAUAAACAACAGGAAAAUCCCCAAAAUCCAGAAAGAAGAGCCUAACNNNNNNNNNNNNNNNNNNNNNNNNNNNNNNNNNNNNNNNNNNNNNNNNNNNNNNNNNNNNNNNNNNNNNNNNNNNNNNNNNNNNNNNNNNNNNNNNNNNNNNNNNNNNNNNNNNNNNNNNNNNNNNNNNNNNNNNNNNNNNNNNCAGAUCUCGAACGAGAAGGGAGCUCGAAGAGAUCAAUACCUGAGCCCGCGCGGCAAAUAGAGGCCGAGCAGAGGUGGCGAUCGCCGUUCCCGAGAUCGAAGCCAUGGAUCGAUUGAAAAAAGAAGAGAGAGAAGGCGACAGAGAGAGAGAGAGAGAGAGAGAGAGAGCUCUAAAGGGAAAGUGAGAGCGAGGGAGGAGGAUUGGAUCUGGGAGAGAGACGAGCACGAAGAGUUACAUGGAGGCGCUUCUCGUUGUCCCCCAUAUAUAAAGAGAACGAGGCUAGGGUGUCGCUAUGUCAUAAUGGCACUGCCGGGGCCUCGGUAGUAUCGAAAGGGCCGGGGGAGCAUAGGCCAGAAUAUAAAAUACCUAUAUUGACCUCAAAAGUUUUCUCAAAUAACGAUGAAGUUACAAUGGUUUUGUUGUAGAUUAGGAAAUAGUUGGGUUCUGCUUCAUAAGGGGCGGCGGGUUAAGGAAAGCGGGGAGGCUUUGGAAGUAUCGAUUCGAAGGGUUUUGUCAGCCGUGUUCCACGUGGUUGUUGGCAAAUGGCUGUUCAACAAACUAUUGACCGGUUAGGUUACCGCACUUCCUCUCAUAAUUCCUACUCACCACUUGGUAGGAAACGGGCCGGGCCGGGCCCACAAAUAAUUUAGGGCCGAAAAAUUCUAAAAUUAGGCCCAAGUCUAUUGGGCCAACUGACAUAGCUAUUUGGGCCAGGCAUGCUUCAUUCCAUCCGCAUCCGAGACUUGAGGAUUUGGCCUUAUAUGAAUAAACUUGAGGGUUAGGUCUUGAAUGUAAAAUCCAUCCGAGUAUCACAAGUUCACAACCAUUCAAGCCGAAGAGUAGUUUCUGAAAAAAGAGAAAAACUAAAACAAAUUGGAUAGUUUGUACCCAAAAAAAAAAAAAGGACAUUGACCUGGAUGGUUCUAUAUAGAAGACUUGCUAGUAGAGCCUCUCAUGGGAAUCCCGAUGUUUUGUAUCGAACUCAACUUCACUAAGAAGGGAUAAAGAAAAACAUUUUGCUUAGAAGCAAGGAAGACCUUUUGCUUCACAUCGAAAGGGGUAAAGUAAAGAAAGACCAUUUGGACUUGGAGGACCCUAAAAGCCUGCUUCAUUGGCUGUGUUGCUGCCUACUGCACCGCCUACCACCUUGCUGAUGCCAUUGUCGACUACAAUCAUACCCACACCCUCGACCCACAUCCAUCCUAGCCCUACUCUCUCACACUGACCUCCUCAAGGCCGUCUGGGCUCUCUUGGAUUGCCUUUGGGACCUCGACAACCCAACCAUCGGGCACUCAGCAGCUUCGAGAAGAAAUGGGUGAAAAAGGUGGCAACCAAUUGGGUCACUUCAAGAACCCCAGCUGAUUUGAUUAUGGAUCGGCUAAUCCGGACUCUUCGAGAGAAGUAGAGACUAGCGAACCUAGCGGCAACGACCUCAAUUGAACCCUAACUCAUUUAGAGCAAACUCAGCGAACCAAAUUAAGAAAUUGACCUCAGGCUUGAUACGAGCCGGAUCUCGGCCAAACCUGGGCUAGAUACUGGGUUUAGGCCUAACAUUAGGCUUGGUUUUCAAGCCUGGUUUGGGUUUGGGCUCAGACUGAAUUUGGGCUAGGCCAAAUAUCUACCAGAGCCCGACCAAAAAUAUUUAUGUAUUUUAAUUUUAAGUCCAAACUUGAACCAAGCUAACUCGGGCCUGGCUCAUAGCCCGAUCCGAAGUUGAGCUCAGCUAAAUGUACUUCCAGCCCUACCACUUGGAAGUGCAAACUUGACACUACAUAGACACAAGCUUCAGCAGUCCUGUGCCGAUCUUGUUCAUUUGGAAACAAGGAAAUGUUUUAGCUAGAAGAGAACAUCGGAUCACAAGACCAACCGUGUCUUGGAUGAGUAGCCAGCUAAGGAAAUAGAGGAUAAAAUGACCUAUUUGCAAUUCACUAUUUAAAAAAAAAAUAGAUGUUAGAUAAAUUAUAAGAUGAGGUCGAUACUCAUCUUUACUAUUUAAAAAUAAAAUUUUCAAAAAAAUGAAACAUUAUUACGGUAUAUUGAUCUCUAUAUACUUCAUGACAAUCGUGUGGUCCUGUUUAAUUGUCUGUGAGUCCACCAAUGAUGUAGGAUGAUUUUAUGAAUUUCGAUGUUAGAUAUUGUUUUGCUCUGCUUGCUUGCACUGCUUUUAUUUUAAGUGAUUGAAUGGAACAUUUAUUAUCGUGUGAUGAAAUGGAAUCCAAAUAUUUCUCUAGCUAACAUAUUGUCAUAUAAUUGUACUUAAUGUGGGUCCUAUUUAUAGAUCAAAUGGAAAAAAAAAACUUGAAAAUAAGAUGAGGUCGAUACUCAUCGAACCAUUUGUCAAUUAGAUGAAAGAGACCAUAGCUCCCAUUUGAUCAUUGGCGGAGGAGAAACAAAACCAAGAGAGAACAAAGUUUAAACUUGUGUUCCUAUUUUUUUAUAAAGUUUUCUAGGUAUCUGUUAGGAAAUUCUUUCUUGUCAUCCAUUUUGUCACUCCUAGAUCACCUAUACCUUGCUUAAUCAAAUGAUAGAUAAGGAAGAACAAAGGUUCAUUAGAUAAAUACUAUAAAUUAAUUAAAAUAAAUAACUAAAAUAAGAUAAAAUUUAAAAAUAUCAUAAAUUAUAUUGAUUAAUAACUAAAAUGUGAAUAAAAAUAAAGGCAACAACUAUUACAAAAAUACAAAGAUAUUAUAAAAUUAAAAAGUACUCAAUCUAAACUAACAAUUUUGAAUAUAUAUAUAUAUACACACACACAAACACAUAUAUUCAUCCAUAUGUUUAAUUAUAGAUGCUUAGUUCUAAUCAAAGAAGUUUUGGAUAUGUGAAAUAAUUAAAUAAGGUAAAUGACAAAAUUAUUUAUGAGGAUCCAUGCGGGUGUAUGUUUAGUCCCAUAUCGGUUAUUCGUUGGAUAGAUUUUAGGUACUUUUAUAGAAUCAAAAAAUACAAAUAAUAUUUUUCGGCUAGCCUUUUUGGAUGUGAUCCUGAAUUGUUGCAAAUGGUAUAAUACAAUUUGAUUGAUUAUGAAAUUAUCACAAACGGGGUUUGAUGCACAUGAGCAAUUCUUUUUACCAUAUACCUCUUGGCAUGCUUCACUUUACAUGCAUAAUCCAAUUUUCAUUUAUCUAUAUUUUCCAAAAAUUUUGAAAUGGUUGAUGAUCUUUUUCUACAUUAAAGUUAUAUCUAGAUUUCAGGAAUGAAAAGAAUCAAAAUAAAAUGGAAAUAGAAGGUAAGGAAUUGAAAUUGCGAUUCCAAUUUCAUUGCUUAGAUAUAAAAAGAAGGAUUGCAUGGAAAUAGAAUAGCAAUUCAAUUCCAUUAAUUUUCUUUAAUUAUUACGACAUUAUUUAUAGUUUCAUUUUUUAUUUUCAUAUUUUUAUUAGUCGAUCUUUAUUCUAUUUUUAUUUUAUAUAUAUCCCCCCUUUUUUUUCUAAUGACAUGGUACGAACAUUUUGAACGCACGAGAUGUCCACUUCCUUGCCACUAGUUAGUAUGUCCUCUCCUAUCCACUCUGCUCUACAAAAGCAGUUCCUGAUAAGUUUUGGCUUCUCCAGCAGUUCUGGUCCAAUUUCAACACCAUUGAACCGAGUAAAUCACUGCGACAGUUCAACUAUAACAUUCCCCUGCCCCAUUUAGGAUGCUAUCCAUAGUCUUUGAUAUAAUCAAAUCACAUAUCUUCAAUUCCUUCUCAUCCCAAGAACACAAAUCCAAUGGAGUUGUCCAACCCAUCCACCUGCACUCUCAUUUCUUUAGGUGGGACAAAACUCUUUUAGAGAAAGAUUUGAAAAUUUUUAUUAAAAUUUUGAGGAAAAAUUAUUUUAUAAUUAACACAAAUCUCCUCUCCUGGCUUAAAAAGCUACGUGAGCUUCUCAAGGACUCUAAUAAAAUGAAUAAAAAAAAAUACCCUAUAAUCUCUUUUCCACAUGCUCAAUUCCAACGCUCAUGAAAAAAAAGUUAUUUUUUUAAUUAAAACUUUUGUAGAUUAGAAAUUAUUUUUAAUUAAAAUCAGGCACAUAUAAUUAGAUGUGCAUAUGGAUAAAAUUAGUAUUAUAAAUUAAAAAAAAUUCUAUAUAUUUUAAAAAAAUUAAUAGUUGUCCGCAUGGGAAGAGAAUCGCAAGUGUGGAAUAUAUGAUAUAAAUACGAGAUCCAAACCGGUCAUAUGGAAAUAGGGGCAUAACGGUCAUAUGGAAAUAAUAACGUCCGCUGGAACCGGUUGCUUCGCUUCCCGAGGAGGCGAGCAACGCGACGCGGCCGGUGCGACAGCUCACCAGCCUGCGCAACGUACACCGCCACCUCACCCCCAACAGUCCGUACAUCAAAUUUUGCUCCUCCUAAGCCAACUUAGCUUAAUAUGUUCCCACGCUUAAAGACAAAACCUAGCAACACUCAACACGUGCCCUAGCUCGCCUUAUUGGUAAAAUUCUGUUGAUAUGGAUGGUGCCGGUGGCGCCGGGAGGGACAACAAAACAUCAAGUUUCAUGCUGUCGCUGCCGCCGACUUCUCAACCAUAUCCACCAGUCCCACCAGUGGAAAAAGACAAGUGGAUCAUAUUUUCGCCCAUCAUUUGUUUUCUUUUGUCGAUUUGCAAGCAAUUCUUAUCAUGGGCCGAAACAUAUCAGAGGAUGAGUGCUACUUGGUGGCAGAAAAGAUGGUGCAAAUUUCACCAUCAGAAGCCGAGCCCUAAAAUAAUUGUUACCGGUAGAUAUCAGAUUUUCGAUAUUUCUAUUUUAGAAUAAAAUUAAAAAUAAUUUAGGCCGGUAUGUGCCAAAUAUGGCUUGUUUUAUAGGCUAACACAGUCAGUAUUUUAAAAUGAUUGGGCUAUGAUAAUUGGCUGGAUUUAGAAAGCAAUAAUGGUGUAGGUGGGUAUCAUUGUUUUGAUUGUUAUUUUUAAAUAGAUUCACACCAGACUAGACCGUCUUGCAGUAAAAAAAAAAAAAAAAAAACCAAUCCAUUGUAAACCUUUCAUCAAUAAUAAUUAAUAAACGGGUGAGAAUAUAAGCAUUUAAAAUAAUUCUGACAUCUUUUCAGAAGUCUUUCGCGAGCAGAAAAAAAACUUUUAGCCAUUGUCAUAAAUACUUUUAUCCUUACGCGUCAAAAUAAAGGAACAAAACGUCUACUCAACCUCCAUGACCAUACUUUCUAGAAACCAACCAUCAGUUGACACGUAAACCUCUUCGUCUCCUACAAAUCGCAGCCUGCAGUUUAGUCCCCUACGACGCUGUUUGGAAUACUAUUCCACACAGCCGAUCUUUUUCAUUUAAGUGCUAUCCGGGGAACUGCCGAGUCGGUCUAGCUUUUACUCCCUCCCAGCCUCCACCCCCCUCCCCUCCCCUCCUCUCUCUCUCUCGAAAUUAUUUCUUUCUUCUCUGUCUUAAUAAAUUCUUUCGGCAACAUCUCAGUUACAGUUGUGCUGAGGCCUAGGGUUCCACGUCUCAUCCUAUUUCGCUACCAAAUUAAAAUUCCCUUCUCUUGGUCGGUGAUUUUAUUGGAGACGAAGUUGGAUUCUUUUUUCCAUCGUUCCGUGAGGGAAGUCUAGUUACCAUUCGGAAGUAAGUUGUUGUCGAUCUCCCACCCCACUUGAUUUGUUUAGUUUCUGGUAGAAGUUUGGUGUUUGAUUUGGUUUCUAUCUUUUUUUGUGUGUGUCUUCUGGAUUUAUAGAUCGAAGGAGUUUGGUGAUCGCAGAGAGAACGUAAAACGAGGGAUGGGCCAAGUGCUUCUGGAAAUCGAACCACCGGAACUGAAGUUCACCUGUAAGUUGGUAGAAGAAUCGAAGUAGUCUCGUGAGCUUUGAAAACCGAUCGUUUAUUUUUAUAACAUGGAACAUCGUAGAUGCUCCAAAGGAUACGCAUAGCUGCUAUUUUUUUUUAUUAUUGUUUUUAAUAGGUAGCGUACGGAAAAGUAUCCACUUUGAUUCUGUCUUUUUUGGAAAUAUAUAGCUGAAUCUGAUGACACUGGAAUAUAUUCCAACACUUACCAUCUGAUCGUGUUGUCCCGCUGUUGAUUCUCCGCUGGGACCCACUAACUGAUGUGUGACCCGCCUGAACGGACGCCGGGGGAUUAGAGGACCCGAACAUGGACAUGCUUGUAAUGCUACUUGCCUAUUGUGGUACUUGGAUGGUGUCAAGAUUUUUGUUUGAGAAGAGGAAAUGGGUGAAAACUAUAUACAUUUUCUAAGAUUAUCGAAAUGUUUCAGAAUCAAUAAUGGAGCAAGUCUAUGAUGAAUAAUUUCAUAUAAGUUAGUUAAUUCUUAAUAUCAAAUAUAUGCAUGGUCUUUUCUGUUCUUUUGAUGGGAAAAGUAGAUUAAUGGACUAGGAUCACAUGCAAUUUUCCCAGCACAAACCAUGAGAAAGAAUGAGUAAAUGAACAAUGUAGAAAUAUAUGAUGUACCUUUCGGAAUGUCACCAAGUAAGAAGGAAAUGUAAGGGUAUAAUUGUAACAACCAAGGACCUCACCUAAAAGGCUAGCCGAAAAGUUUUUGAUGGAUCAUACCUCACCUGAAGACCCUAUCUAAUAGCCUCAUGCUCUUUGAAUGUCUUCGGGAGGAUCAAACAUGGUUCCUCUUAUGUGAUAGUUAUCUGAUUUUAACAUUUGAUUCAAUUCUAAAGCCAAAAAAGAAAGUUUUGAAAGAAAAGAAAAUGGGGAAUAAUUGGUCACCUUGAUUUUUUGCCUUUGAUGACCUUUUAUAUCCCCAAGAUUAACAAUAUAAAAAUUGACAGGAAAAGAACUGUAGAUUGUCACUAAGAGAACCAAGGUUUUUGGAUGAAUUUAAAAGGGGGAACCAAGUAUGGAGUAGUAACUAUUGGCAUGUAUCAGCUACAUUUGACAUGAAAAGCACCGGUGUAGACUGAUAGGCAGUGAUACAAGCUAACAUUAAUGUGACAAAGGCACACAUCCUUUUAUUGUGUGCAUAGCUUGCUGACAUAAUAUGUCUCCUAGGAUAUUGUAUGACAUGAACUGGCAUUCUGAUCCUUUGACAUAGCUUGGAGAAUAUUCCACCACUCUUGUUUUAGACCACAACUAGCUACUUGAGUCCAUGUGAUUCUGAUAAGAAGUUCUGUCUGAUCCCAAUAUCAUUUGUCAUUUUCUGAUAAUCUGUUGCCUUGAUUUUUUGGUUGCCUGCUAUGAUUUUUCAUCUGAUAAUUUGUUGUGUUACAGAGCAUAAAUUUCUCCCAUAAUUUUUGUUAAUUUGAUAUGCUUCCUCUGUUGUUUGUAUAAAUAUAGCAGUAUAUAUGAUUUCUCAUUUCUCCUUUUAUUAUUAUUGUUGUACCUUAUCAUAGGUUUCAUUGUCAUAGGUUUGUAUAUGUCUCUUUUCUGAUUUGGAUACGGGCAGGAGUCUUACAGAUUGUAAUGUCUUUCUUUCUGUCAGUUGAGUUGAAGAAGCAGAGUUCGUGUUCGGUACAUCUUGUCAAUAAAACCGAUGAUUACGUUGCCUUCAAAGUUAGUGCUUCUUGCUUUUUUUUUUUCUUGCAUGUGUUUUAUUCAUAAUGUGGCUGCUUAUAAAGAGCAGUGGUUUAGGGGUUGCAAAUUCUGCUUUGUUGCCUCUUGAAAAAUUAUGUGCUUACAAGAGCUUUGUGAUUAUUCCCAUGGAUUUUUAAGAUCAUUCAUUAGGGCAGGUUUCUGGUGUUAUUUCUGGAUCUGUCUUUCGGUAGCACGAGUAACUAAUUUUUGAAUUGCUUAUGCUAGUUGUCCAUGGUCACCUAUGCCUUCCUAAAUUUCUGUUCUUAGUUCUGUUCAUUUUUUCACUAUUAUCAUUGAUCACUAAAAUGCCUUUUGCACUCAAAUUUUCCCCCUCGCUGCCAACCAUAUACAUGAAAAAAAUGUAGUCUCAAUUUAUUUUUCAUUUGGGAAUCACUUAGUACCAUGAAAUGUUGAUCCUCCAUUCUGGCUCUGUCAUUAUAUAUUAGAUUGAAUCAUAAUAGUGACUGAUUGGACUAUGAUGCAUCUACUAGGUCAAAACUACAUCACCCAAGAGAUACUGUGUGCGACCAAACACAGGUGUCAUUCUACCAAGAUCAACAUGUGAUUUUACAGGUAGCUAUACAUAUAUACAAUUGCUAUUAGCACGUUGCUGUUUGUUUAAUAAAAGAGAUGCGGCAUCAAGUUGCAUACUUGCCUAAUCCUCAAAUUAUAUAAUGUCAUUUUGCUUCACAUGUAUGCUGAUCAUCGAAAUCUUAUAUCCUCAAAUUCUACUGACUUGUCAUAUAUUUUUAUGAUUUUUACAUCUUGUAAGUAAAGCUCCCUCAUUGACUUUGUAAUACUAUUCUUCAUUUCGAAUCAACACAAUGGCUGCAAGAAUAUUGCUUCUGGUGACUCAAAUGAGAAGCCUUGAAUGGUGUAGCUAAUCUCAUGUAAACCCUGCAGAAAUCUCAUUAUAUGCAUUUCUAUAUAGAGGAGAGAAUGUGAUUGAGAAGGAGGAACUAAACAACAAUGAAGGUGGUACUUAGAACCUAAUUAAAAGAUCGAGGCAUAAAUUAUAGAUGGCAUUGGCUUCAAAUAAAAACCAGGUCAUCUAAUCUUUAAGUUUAAUCAGUUCGCUAACUACUCGGCUGCAUGGUCUAGGAUUUGCCAGCAGUUCUAAUUGGUUAGUAGUGAAUUUGAAUUGGUCCCUUACAGGGUCACUUCCACGUAGUCCUGCUUGUGGAACUUGAUCGAUAAGCACUCUUUACAAAAAGGUUUAUUUCAUAUUGACAUUACUACUACUUGAAGGAAAUAUGCAGAUCAAAGACUUGUGGAACUUGAUCGAUAAGCAAUUGUUACAAAAAGGUUUAUUUCAUAUUGACAUUACUACUACUUGAAGGAAAUAUGCAGAUCAAAGAAGGUCUUUUUCCAUGAACAUGGUGUCUCAGGAAUUUCAGUUCUGCAACUUAAGGCGUUGCUUCCAAUCAUAUAAUGUAAUAAACAAGGAGAGCUCUUCCUUACAAUGUUAAUACAAUUUCUUAUAAGUUCAUAUUCUACAAAACUCUGCUGGAUUUGUGAAAUCGGGCCCUAGUGUCUGUUCAAGGCCAUAAAUGCACCCUUUUUAGUUUUGAGUUCUUCUCUAUUCAGCAGUAAAUCCUGUGUUGAUGCAUAUACAUCUUCUUUUAUAUAUUUGGGAAAGAAAGUUAUUUUUAACUUCUUGGUAGAUCUCAUCCUUCAGAAUGGCUGCAAGAGAUGUGGUAAUGGAAAGGGAGUUAAGUCAUCCAGCGGAGAGGUAUUAAAUCAGUUAGGUCCAUAUGCAUGUUACGUGAUGCCUAGUUUGGGUUUUGUUAUCAUUAUACUUCAUGGACCUACCUAUAUGCAUUAAUUAUUUCCCUUUAGGAAGAGGAAUGACUUGAUAAUUGUUAUUUUCAUGGAGAGAAAUCUGUGUUGUCCUUGCAUUGUGAUGCUUCCAACCAUCAUGAGAAAGGCUUCAACCAAAGAUUUAAGGAUAAAGUUGGGAGGACAAGGAACAAUCAAACUAAUGAUAACCUGAAUUGAAGCUACUCAAGGAAGUAAAUUAGUGAUUGGAUGAGUAGUAACACAUGUUUAGUUUUCCAUUUUAUAGUAGGAACUACAGGACCCUCCAGAUCCUUAUUCUUGCUAUGGCAGGAGAGCUACUAAGUCUUAAGUAGUUAAUAGGGUGUUAAAGUUAACUAACUUCUAAAAUAUUGUAAGAUGAAAAAGGAAUUUUCUUGAAAAAGGUAACAAUAGCAAUCAUGAACUUUUGAUGAUAUCAAAGGUUGUUGCAUUUAUGACCCUUUUGUUGUCUGAGGAAAAGCAGCACACUUGGAGUGAGCAUUCAACAAAAAGAAGAUAAAAAACAAUCGUUGCCCGGGGGAGAUAGGCGACAAUAUCAUGAUUGGCCCAUGUUGGCUUUCGAAAGUAGUCCUGGCCCAUGUUGGCUUUUGAAAGUAGUCCUGAAAUUUGACUCCACUGUGUCAAAAAACAUCUACAACUGUGCAGAUAUUACUUGGGCCUCUGGCUACACUGGAAUCACAAUCACCAUGACAAUUCUGAAUUCUGCAUUUACUAAAUGACUUACCAUGAUCAAGAGUUAUACGGACUUAUCACCAGGUAUUCAAAUAGGUAAGGGAAAACAGGUAGACGUGGCAUUCAUGAGCAUAAUUGUACUUUCAAGGUAUCACUUGUAAGAAUAGAUGGUUGCACUUCCUCAAACAAGCUAUGGAUGUGGCCAGUCUAUUUCUUUUCAUAUAAUUUCUCUGAGUGUGUAUCACUUGUUAAAUGUUUGUAGAGAUUCAGUCCAUCAAGUACUUCAUGAGUGCAGCAUAAGUUUCUGCAAGACCUUGUUAAACAUUCGAAGGCAAAAAAAAACUCAAGCCAGAUUUUUGUUUGUUAAAUAUAUCACUUUUAUUGCAUCCUUCUUCUUUGAUUUCUCAAAGGCUAUUCCGUGGCUUCAUUAUAUCAUAAAACUAUGUCAUGAUUUGUGCAUCUAAAUUAACCAUACAUCAAUAUUCAUGUGCACUCCUAUGACAACUUAGAUGCUUCUCUCCUUAGUAUCACCAUGAAGGUAGUCUUGUUAGUGGACUAUUCUGAGCCGUUUCUUUUGUUUAAGUUAAUUCAUUUAAUAGAUAUUUUAUCCCUGGAAAUCACUCUGUGGAAGUAAAAUCAGCAAAAGAGCUCAUCUACUAGCUGGCUUUGAAAUUAUAUGAUAUGCAAGCCAAAGAGUAGAAAUUAUGGUAGAACAGUGGAGAUAGAAUAGUGAUAUAUAGUAGUAUGAAAAAAGAAUGCUAAUGUGAAGACUAAGAGAGGAGAGGAGCGCACUCAAUGUGCAAAUGGGCUCUUUCUGUGGUAUGGAAGAUCAUGUUAGUUCAUCAUGUGAAUUUCCUCAGAACAAAUUUGAUGCCAGAAAUGCGACUUUUGAUUCUCAUUGUCACCAUUCCCAACUAAAAUGAACCUAAAAGUCAAUGCCGCUAUACGAACACAAUAAUGGUUAUUGUGCAUCACAUUUUAGUUUUAUCACCUAGAUUCUGCAUUCAUUAUUGAAUUCUUUUUGUUGGCCUUCAGUGUUUCUAACUGAAACAAACCUAGGAGUUAAUAUCACUGUGUAGGAUCAUAUUAUGGCAACUGUGCUUGGUGCUUUAAAUUUAUCUCUUAGAUUUCUUAUUAGUAUUAGUUACUUUCUUUUUAGCUGAUCUCUGUGUUGCUGAUUCAAUCUCAAUCUAGUUACCAUGCAAGCUCAAAAGGCAGCUCCUCCUGAUAUGCAGUUAAGAGAUAAGUUCCUAGUUCAGAGUACAGUUGUUUCAUAUGGCACCAUGGAUGAGGAAAUUAUGCCGAGCUCUGUGAGUAUAUAUUGUUGCCCUGAAUGUUGACUUUUUGUUUUCUCCUUCUAUAAUCCUCUUCAUUUUCCUGGUUCAGUUUUCUAAAGCAAAUGGCAGAUAUAUUGAAGAGAACAAAAUGAGAGUCAUUCUGGUUAGCCCACCUCAUUUUCCAGUACCGCAACCAAUUAAUGGAGCUUUAAAGCAGGAGCCAGUUUACGAAGCACCUAAUUUGAAAGAAACUCCUGUUUCAACCAAUCAAGAAAUGAAUGGUGUCGAGAAUCUUCACCCAUUUCAUGUAAGAGAUUUUGUUCCAGCUUCACAUCAUGUCAUUUUAUGUUUUGCUAUGACCCUAAGGUACUGCACCUUAUAUUUUGCUGCAAUUUUAUCAUUAUUUAUAUGAAAUUAAUAAAGAGCCUACUGGAUAAUGAAAUGCAUUCUAUUGAGAAGACAUAAUCAGUUUGGUUCUCCAUAUUAGUUUUUGAAUGAUCAGUCUUAGAAACAGUGCUUUUUAAUUUUUUUGUACAUAGAUAAUAUGGACACCAUAAUCUCUAUAUUCGUUUUGUGAAACAUCUCUUUUCAAUUGUCCAUUCAUAUUAUUUUCAGGUUGCCAAGGAUGUUGAGGAUCUAAAGUUGAAGCUGAACGUUCUUGAAGUGAAACUAAAUGAGGUCAGUUUUUAUACAUAUGACUUGAGUUUUGGCCUAGCUUGUAGUCUUUGAUACUUUUAUUCUUAAUGCCACUUUCUUGGAUCUUUUCUGCACCCCCAUGCUUACCUUUAUCAUUGGCCCAUCACAUGCUGUAAUCAGGAUUCUUGCUCAAAUUGGGGAUCUGCGGUUCCAGAUUUAUGCUUUCUAAGUUUAGGUAUAGAUAACAUAUGGUAGCAAGUAUCAUAAUAAUAAGUGAACACAGUUGCUCUCUGGUGAUACUGAGAAAUGGAAAUGAUGUUGUAAUGUCUGCUCUUCCAUUUGAGCAUACAAACUUUUUCUUAAAGGUUUUGUUUAGAUUUCAGACGUAACCUGCUUCCAAGUCCAUAUAAUUCUUCUCCACGAUCUAGCAUGGCAUAGAACAUAUUGUUAGUUAAAAUAGGCUUUUCUGUAUGUUAUUGAUAGAACUGCUGUAUUGCACAUAAAUCGAGGGAGCAGGUCACAGUAGGUGCAAGUGAUUUAUCGUUUUUUCUUUUAUAAAUCUAUUGUCAAAUUCUGCCGCACUUCUUCAUUGAAAUAUACUUUGUUAUUCAAAGGAUAAUCUUUGAAGUAUAAGAGAAAUGGGUAAUUUUCCAGGCUGAAAAUACAGUCACAAGGCUGAAAGAAGAGAAUGGUGCAGCCAUUCAAGAGAGGGAAAAGUUGCAACAAGAAAUAGUGAGUCUUAUUUUAUUUAGAAGCAAAUUUUUAUCUCUUGUAACACUACUGUUUUCUAGUUCAGAAAUUUGCAUCUUAUUUGACUGGGAAAUCAGGGAAAACCAAUUAAUUUCUAAACUCUAAUUCUAUUCCUUUUAAACUAUAUAACUGCUCUGAUUGACACUUUUCUAAGCCUUGCUUAUGCAGUAGUCUAUAGAGCAUUGCAAUAACGAAGAAUAGAACCUUUUCUUCAUGAGGCUUCUUCUGCACUCCCCACGUCCACCCAAAAAAGGGGACUAUUUUGUAUGCUUGAAUUGCUUCUUGUGCCUCUAAUUUCUUUAGACCUUCCAAUUAGAUGAGCAGCAACCAUUUUGUUACAUCAAGUUCAAGUAGCUCAUGAAUAAAUUAGUGCACACAUUGCUGUGCAGUUGCUUGAUGAUUUCCUGCCUUACAUAAUUUAUCUUUGCAUAUUUGAUAUCUUUAUGCACCUUUGAGAAUCAAACAUUUAUGUAGUGGCUGGUCAUUCACUCAGACUAGCAUUCUUAUUUAUGUCCUAGUAUGAUUUCGUCCUCUUUAUUCAGUUUGUCAGUACCUUCUUGUGGAAACCAUUCUCUUAUAGAAUGUAAUGGGUCUCUGAUAUCUUGGUGUCUAAUUUCAGAUAUUGUUCAGAAGGAAGUGUAUGGCAGGGACUCAGGUUGGUUUUCCCUUUUUGUUUCUGGUUUUCAUGACAAUAGUUGGUGUGGCCCUUGGAUACCUGUUGCACCCAUGAGAGACGGAACGAAAAGCAAAGACAAGCACAGCUGCUUUGGAGCUGGAUGCUACAAUCUGUGAUAUCAAAUGCAAUAGAAAACUACUCUUUCCCGAGGAUAAAAGAUAAAAUGCAUCAUGUAUAUCUCUCUAUUCUGAUGGUUUUGCACCAGAGAAAAUAUAUUAGGUUACAAAAGACAGUUUUUACGUUGUAUAGAGGGACAAUUUGAGAUGUUCUCUCCUCGCAGACUAACCUUGAUUUUUUUUUUUCAUAAUAAUAAAGCAUGUUGAUAAUUUUAUAUCAGAUUGUUUCCAUCCUCACUUUAUUGGCCAUGUUUAGGAAAAAUCUGCUGAACCUUGAGCUAUACUUUGGAGUUUGGACUACCGAAAAUUGGCUUGAUGAUUUUUAUUGGAUAUGUAAAACUGACAGUCACGGUGGCCUUUAAUGGGCCUUUAUCGCCUGAGAAGGUUCAAUUCACCAUGUUAGAAUCUUUUCUAGAAUUCUGACUCUGUUUCAAAGGCAGGAGAAAUGAAGGGCAAUCUGAUGAAGUGCCAAAAGAUCUCUGCUCUCAAAUGCUCUCAUUGCAGUAUCCAUAUAGAGUGACUAGGAUGGUGGUGAUACCUUGUUCUCUAAAAUGCUAACAUUCAGAGUGGAAUAUGAUGACGCCACAUACGACUGAUGGCUCAGCUUGUAGUGGAAGUGAGUCUGUUUCUGUGGCUGAUGAAUCCCCCAGCCAAGGAUUGGAUUAUCAAAGUGGAACUGGGAAAUUUGAAUGCUGUUAUGGAACGUGAUGAUUGCAGAUAUCCACAAAUUCAGAGAGCACUUUGGGGCAUUUAAAUUCUUCCAGCUUAUAACGACAUCCAAAAGGUGAAAUCUGUUUCUUGCUUGCUUGGGCUUAAUUGGGGGAGAAUGGUCCCACAUCUAAGCCAGGUUAGAAGUGGUGCAAAUUGCUUUCUUUUUUUGGGAGAAAAUGGAGCAGAAAUUUUCAGAUUCAGUAUUUUACUUUUGAAUAUGAUAUUUGAAAAAUAGUAUGAAAUGGUUUCCAUCUAAUAGUAUAUUAUGCUUUGGGUGGAGAAAAUUUUAGUUCUGUUUUGCACUUUAAUUAUCUUUUGAGUAUUUCACUUGUACCAGGCUUUAUUUAGUAAUUUUCCUUUUCUAUUCAAAACUAUGAUAUUUAGGUUAUAUAAUAUAUUUCUACAUGUUUACUAAAAAAUUCUGUGUCGAUAGAGCUUUAAAACCAUUUGGUCUCAGCUUUUUGUACCUGAAAUGAAGUAUCAUGUACAUGGUCAUCCAACAUACUAGAUUUUCUGCGGAAAAUUUUAAAAUUAUCACCAUGUAUGUUGAUUAAGAAAAAUUUGAAGGGAUUAGCAAAGGGUUGGAAGGAGAGAGUGAACUCAUAAUUCCUACACAAGUAGGCAGAAUCAUCUUUUUGUUCGAAUUCAUUAUCCUAAUUUCUUGGAGUUUGUUGUGUUUACAUCCUCUUUCAGUCCCUGCAAACUCCCCUUCCAUGGGUUUGCUAAGAAUUGUUUCUUAUGCGGGAGUUAGGCCAUUGCCCUUGCAGAUAAAAGAACCUCUUUAGCUAAGGAUUUUCUUAUCUUGGACAUUGGUUCUUCGUAUUUCAUUUUAAGUAUAGUAUUACUCCUUCAACUGUAAUCAUUUGCCAGUAGGGCUUGACUCUUUAGUCCUCUCUUGGUACCACUUAUAGUGCAUGCACGAAAGAAAGGUUCCGAGUUCAUUUUUGAAAGGUGGCAUUUUUCUUUGAAUUUACCACAAAAAUGUAAUAAUUUUGAGCAGCGGAGGAAGAGAGAAGAGGGAAUAUGAGUAAAGGGUGAGAUGAUUUCUAGUAUAUUGGAAAUCUUAGAUGUGCAUGAUCCACAACCUCCCCCAAUCUGUCCCACUUUUACAUCUUACUUGGUUCCCAAUCCAUUCCCACUCAUGUGGAAGAUAUACCACAGAAGAUGGUGAGGCAUCAAACAGAACCCUGAAAGAGGUUUAUAUACCUUUUCCCUUUUGGCCGCUGCAAAAUUUAUUCUUAUUUCAUAUAUUCUUUAUCAACAAAAUUUCUGAUUAAGGAUUCCAUGCCAUUUUAUAUGGUAUUCACAGGAUCACAACGACAUAUUCCAAGAUUUAGGAGCUACACCUGCUGAAUUCCAGUUUCAACAUCUACACAAAAUUUUAUGCAUUCAUAUUGUCUGCUUGUGUACUCUCUAUAGUUAAUGGUAGUCUCGGUAAGAUUUUACAUUGUUGGGAUUAUGGGGAUAUCUGUCACUCAUGCACAUCGAUUGAGUUCAUAUCUUGUUUCAUACGAACAAAAGGUAUUGUACACAGGAUUAUAUGCAAUUUAGUGUACUUAAAUAGUGCAUGGUUGCUCGUCCUCGCACAUAUUCUGUUAAGUGAACAGAGGUCCUAGAAGAAUGUCAUGUUCUCUAUCUCUACUUUUGCAAUAGAAUCAGAGGCAUGUUUAGUUGGGAAAAGUUGAGACUCUGAAAUGUGAAUGUGAAUGGGAAUGAGUGACUUUCAUUUCGGCCAUUUGGUUGGAGGGAGUCCCAUUUUCAUUUUGACUCUAGAGCGGAAUGAGAAUGUGCCCAAUUUCUUAAAACUUAAUCCCUACCCUUCCAUAGUAUUCAAAUUCUAUUUUAAAUUUGGUCAUGAAUCAAAUAUGUUGGGAGAUAUGGCUAUAUUGCGAUUCUGAUUCUGAUUCCAACCGUGAACUAAACACUACCCAAGAGUGGUUCCCAAUUUCUCAUUCUCCCUCUCAGCAGCCUUGAUUCAUUACCAGUGAUAUGGUUCUUCAGAUCCAAGUCAUCCCGCGCAGACAACUUGUCAGGGCCUUUGUCCGGCCGAAAGGAGGGAAAGUUGAAGUUGAAGAACAAAGCUCCAAGGUGCAACUCUGUCUCCUUGAACAUCAUUAUUGCCAUGUUAUUAUUAUAAAGCUUAAAGCUAUUUCUAUUGUAGUGUGGUCCAUCAUAGAAUUGCUGAGCCUGAUAAAUAUCUCCUUGUUAGUUAUGUUAAUUCACAAGGGAAAGCCUGACUAGAUAAAUAACUUCAAAUGAAGCUGUACACCUCUCUUCUGUGUCUAUCCGUAGAUUCCACAUCUAAUUCAAAAGAUUGGGCUGCUCUAUCAACAUCAGUUAAUCUGGGGCCUUUUCUAAUCUAAUUUAUCAUUAUGUAGAUUCUCUCUCAUCUCAGGGAUCCUUCCAAUAAACACGAUCAUAAUCAUCAAUAUACUUACAACAUCACAUAUUAAGACUGAAACUCUUAUUGUAACUUAUAAAAAAAAAAUGUUUUGCCAAAUAUAAGCCAGUUUUUCUGAACUAAGACCAUCAUGUUUCUCAUGGUUGUUGAAUUCAUCAUGGGUUUUCCUUCAUAAAACUAAGCAGCAACCAAACAACAUCUUCAAGAAGGAAGCAACUUGUUUUUUAAACAUAACAUAUACUUCCCAAAAUAUUAUAUAAUCAACAGCUCAAACUCAUUGUACAACAUAAAAUGGCAGCUCACAUAUAUAUCUAGAUGCACGAUAUAAAUCUAGAUGCCUCAAAAAUUUAGCAGCAGAUGACAAGUUUGUGCUACAUAUCUCUAUUUUUUUUUUCUUUUCUUUUCUUUCUUUUUUCUUUUUUUGGUGCUAAAAACGGACGCUUCAUACAGUUCUAGCACGGAUACAUCCAAUAAAAUCAGAUAACAAUAAAUUUCAAAGUGUUCUGGACAACUCCUCCUCCUCCUCGGCCCCUAAGGUAUCUCCGGAACGACAAGCCACGUAAAAAGCCACCCAAUCUGCAGUUUCGUUGGCCUGUCUAAAUACAUGCUUAGUCCGAAAGGCCACUUCAUCACUCACCAUAGUCCAAAUAUUCUAAAGCAGGAGUGUCCCCCUCCACCGCCACUCGGGCCAUCCUAGAUCCAGUUGAUCACAGUGGCUAAGUCACCCUCCAAUAUAACUGAGCAGGUCUGUAGCACACGCCGAGCAUGACUCAGGCCGGGCCUAUGCUUACGUAUCUCUACCAAUGAUAUUAUCAGCCUAUUUCAGUAAUUCCGCAUAUCCCUACUACUCAAUACAUAUAUUAACAGUGCACAGAGCAGUACCCUUAAGCUGCUUGCAUCUCUCGAUCCACCGAUAGGGAUAACUUCUCCUCCUUGUUGCUUGGCAAAUCAUCAGAAUCCAUCUCUGACUGGGCCAUGCUCCUUACGAACUCCAUAAACAGAGGCCAAUGCUCUGGCGAGAAGAAGAAAGCGCCCAUUCUGUGAUACGUAAAAGAAUCGACACUUGAAUUCUCUGCAGAUAGAAUUUCCUUAAUUCUUCUAAAACCUUCUACGCCGAUGCCAUCAAGCGAAGAAUUCUCCCCGGAAACCCUCACCCCAUGCUUCUCACACGCCUUCAUUAUCUGAGAUAGCAGCGACUCGGGGCUCGAUCUCAGGCCAUGAGGUUGCUCCUUGCCCAAGAGGUCCAUUCCAGGGAUGAUCAUUGCACAAGAAUUCCUUGCGAACAUCUCGCCGACGGCAUCGUACCCGUCCCUUCCAUAUGUGUUGUAGAAUCCAGCAGUCAGCUGAGCCGGCCGGGACCGGGUGUCGUGCCACCAGGGCAAAAGUGGCACCUUUGCAGACAGAGUCACCGGCAAAUCACCAAACACUUUCGAUGCAGUUGAGAGCAUCCGAUCACCAUGGGAUAGGAGCUGCCCUGAGUACCAGGAGAGGAAGAAAUUUCCAUAGGGGGUCUCCCACGAGCCGCCAUUCUCCCUGAAGAAGUUGCCGGAAUCCGGCGACUGGUCGUACUCCGGGGCAUUAUGGGGACCAGAGAGGCCCCACAGUGGGUUUCCGGACUCCUCGGCAUGCCGUUUGAGAUCGGCCAGCAUGUAUUUAUCGUAGCAUUGGAAUUCUCCGACGCCUGUAAACAGAUGGCUUCCAGUGGAGGGGGGGAACGAGGGGUACCGGAGCUCGCCAUUGGGUCCGAGACUCACCGAAAUGUCCUGAAAAAGAAAUUGGGUGGCAAAGAGAGAGAAGCACGAAUUUUACAUCAAAGAAUGAAGAAAGAGUAUAAAGGUGGAGGCUUUUGAUCAAAAGACGCACAAAGGUGGAAGCUUUUUGCUUACCGUGAUGGUGGAGCCGAUGAAAUCGGAGAAGGCGGAACGGAAACUACGGAAGAACUCCUCGAAGGCUUGCAACGGGGUCUUGCCGUCGAGGACAGGGAGGUUGUCGACGGCGAGGGAGAGGCAGUCCUGGCGGCGGCGGCCGGAGCGGUCGGUGAAGAGGAGGUCGGGGUUGGCGUCGGCGAGGCGGGAGACCCAGUCGGGGAGGGGGAAGGCCGGGCGGCGGGAGGCGUGGAGGUGGAGGGAGACGCGGAGGCGGAGACCGGCGUCGCGGACCAUGUCGGCGAGGGCGAGGUAGGCGGACCAUUCGCCGGCAGCGGCGACGCCCCACCACACGGGGAGCUCGACGCCUUGGGCGCCGAGGAGCUUGAGGGCGCGGAGCCCCGCCGCGAUGGCCUUGGCGUGGUUCACGGCGUUGCAGUCGGAGACCGCGUCGAGAGGUAGACCCACGAAUAGCCGAACCGGACCGGUCUGAACCGAAACAAAAAGAACAAUUAAUUUUUUUCCCCAGAAUUCCAGUAAUCGGUAAAAUUGAAGUGAUCUGGACCGUUUAUGUUACCAAAACGCAUAGAGAUCUCUAUGGGGCAUCCCGAUUCCGUCCUUUAGGUGGACACGACCCCGAAAGCCAGGAUGACCCAUAGGGAGGUAUUAGCCGUCCGCAUAGAAACUUCUAUGCAAGGGUUUAAACGGGUGCCUUUUUUUGGUUUUUCUAGGUAUAUAUAUUUUUUAAAUAUUAGCAUUUGCAUGAACACUCCCUCAAAAUUGAUAUUUAUACGUAUAUCCUCAUUAAAUACUUAUAUAUAUUGCAUAUAUAUUCAUGCCGUCUAAUAUCAUUAAGAAGUUAGCGAUUUAAAAUUAAAAUAAUGAAAAUAUGAUUAUUGAUAAACAUGUAAAACAAAAAAGCUUAUAAGAGUGUAUAUAUAAAUAGUAAUUUUAGAAAAUAUUCAUACAAUUUUAUAUAUUUAGGAAGAUGUAUAUACAUAAAAAAAUCUUUUUAAUUUUUACAUAAAUAUUCUUCUAAAUAUUGAAUUUUUUUAUGAAUACCUUCUAAAUUAAUAUCGAAAUUGCAUAAAUAAAAAAAAUAAACUUAAAAUUUUUUAUAUAUGAAUCUUCUUAAAAAUCUGGAAUUGUAUAAAUAUUUUUGUAAAGCAUUAUUUGCAUAUAUAUUUUUAUUUUUUUAUUUUUAUUUUUUUUUUGCAAAACGACAGAGAUCUCUACGGGGCAGCCCGAUUCCAUUUUUUCGGUAGACACGACCCCGAAAGUCAGGAUGACCCAUAUAGAAACUUCUAUGCACGUGUUCAAACGGGUGCCUUUUUUUCUUUUCCCUUUGGUUUUUUUGGUGGAAGCGGAACAAAGGGCGUCUUUUUUUUCUUUUGAUGGUAAAGGGUGUCAUUUUUUCCACUUUUAUUAUUUCAAGGAAAAAGGCUUUGGGGCUCAACCAUGGUACAAAAGAGCAGAAGGUAGUGACCAAGAAGUUGGUUCCAUAUACGUACGCUGUUCUCUGUAUCGAGUUACACAGGCGAUUUACUCGAACAAGAUGGAUGAACAAACAAACAACAACAACUUCAAAUUCUUACGAUUUAUUUCCAUAUUACCCAAUAAAAUAAAAAAAGUACUUAGCUCUACCAGAUCUGUUAUCUUAAAUCUAACAUGAAACAUUAAAGAGAAGAGUUUACCGAUUUCUUUGGGGCGUUCAAUUCUGCCUCCCGGACGGCCAUCUCGGACCGGACGCCACUGCGAGCCAUCUUAACCGCCCCUUUCCGGCCCCUCCCGGUCGCCGGAUCGAAUCGGAUCCGGUCCACUCUGGACCCUGUCCGCCCCGAUUCAACGAGCCCAAGUUUCCUGGUCGCGAAGAGCUCCGGCUUCACCACGCCGGCCCGCCGGCCCAUCAACGCCACCUCCAUGGUUGUGUGUGAGAGAGAGAGAAAAGAGGGAGAAGGAUAUGAGAGGAGAUUAUUGGGGAUAGCUUCUUUGUUUUGCCUUGGUGGUUGGAGCGGAGGAGGAUAGUAGCUUAUAAAGAGGGCUCACAAUAGAGCAAAAAGUCCUUCCACGUGUCGAGCUCAUCUCUGGCUGCAGUGAAACUCGAUAUAAGUAUUCCUUUUUUUAAUCAUUCUAUGGGCCUCUUUUCUUGGUCCACGUUUGCCUACUAUUUCCUCUAGUUACCAAAAAUGCCCUUAGUUAUCGGGUCUAAUUGCAAAUAAUGGGUGCGGGAGCCUUUCGGAAUAGGGGAGGGUGUUUCCGUAAUUUAGACGGAGCAGCGAUUCCGUGCAGGUAUCCUGGGGAUAAUAACAUGGGGCGAGCAUGUGGGCCACGUGGCAGGUGUUCAUUGAGUGGUCGGAGAUGAACGAGGGCCACCGAUCGAGAUCCCCAACCGGUCGGAUAGGGCUGGAGUAGCAUUCGACAUGGAUCAGCUACAGUACACCCACUCAUGCAAUAGCACUAUUCUAUCGACACGUGUCUUCUGUAGAUAAAAUAGGUCAGGGACGAACUUCGGGUGGGAAUGAUCGAUGGAACACGUGGAGGCAUGCGUCUGGUGGUUGGGGGGGGAGACGCGUUGCAACCACCGGGGGACGAGAAGCUUCAUCAAACCGCGUCCGCUUUCUUGAUGGAGCCGACAGGGCGUAAGACGCGGUGUCCGGACGUGCACGUGGCCGUUGGAUGUGGUCUGGGUGGUGCUCGCUUACACGUCUGAUCAUUCCUUAUUAGCUUAUUUAUAUGUUUACUCAAAUUAGAACCCCAAGAUAACCCUCUCACUGAUGCAAGUGGGACCCGCAGCUGAUAGCUAAGAUUUUUCCCACUUUGGACAAAUGACACAUUGGCAAUUGUUUUGGAUAAGUAUCUCAUGCCUCAUCCUAACAUGUUGCGAGUGUUGAUGGCUAAGAGAUAUUUGCUAGAUAUGUAUUCGGCUCUUAGGCCCUAUUUGGAGGAACUAUUAAUAGUAGAGCUUUUGAAAAUAGAGCUGUUGGAAGUAGAGCUCUCUGAAGCAGAGCGUUUAUAAAAAACUGUUUGCUGUUUGGUAACUACAUUUCUGAAGUACUGUGGCACUUUAAUAUGUGUUUGGUAAAUAAACUGAGAAAGUAUUUUUGUGUGACAAAAUGACCAUAAAGGACAUUAUCAGUAUUAUAUAACAGAGCAUAAUAAAAUAUAACAUGUAUUAAUACAUAAAUAUAUGAUAUAGUACAAUAUUAAUGUAAUGUAAUAUAAUAUUAUUAUAAUAUAAUACUAUAACAUUAUGUAUUAUAGAAUAAUAAUUUAAUAUAAUAUUAAAUUAUUUAACAUAACAUAUCAAUGUAUUAUGAUAUAAUGUAAUAUAAUAUUAUAUUUAUAGUAUAAUACAAUAAUAAAUAUAUAAAAUAUUAUUAGUGUAAAUUAAUUUUUCAUCCUUCUAAUGACUAUUUAUCUCUCUAACAAAUUUUCUAACUAGGUGAUAAAAUUGGUUAAAUAAUUACUAAUAUUUGUUUUUAUUUAUUUAGAUCAGAUUAUUUGCUACUCACAUAUUAUUUUUUUAUUUAUUUAUUUUAUUUAUUUAUUAUUUUAUUUCAUUGAAAUAUAGAGGGGUCGCCGGCCAUGGGUGGUGGCCGGCAUGGUGGCUGCCACCGUGGGCAGCCACGAGCUCCCAAAACAAAAAAAAGAAAAAAUAGAGAAGAGGAAGAAGGAAAAGAGGCGACGACGUUGAGAGGAAGAAGAAGAUAGAGAGGGAGAGGGAGAGGGAGAGGAUGGGUGAGAGAGGAAAAGGCGGGAUGAGGAUUUUGGAAAAAAAAAGUGUGAUUUAAAAGGGGAUAUUUUGGUCCAAAAAAUAACUUUUUGACAAAGCUGAAAACAGCGUUUUUGGAAAGCUCCAAAUUGAAACUUCUCUCCAAAAGCUAUUUUCAGAUUCCCGCAAAAGCUGAAACAGUUUUCCGAAAAUUUUACCAAACACUAUUUUUUAUCUAAAAGUACUUUUGCAGGGCCAGAAAGUACUUUUUGGCCCUCCAAAAGCUCCCCCAAACAUGGCCUUAGAUUUGUUUUCUUCUUUAGGUUGAAUAUAAUUUUUUUAUCAAAAAUCUAUAACUUAUUACUUCAUGUAAAGUUGUUAACUCUUUGCAAGUUCAGAAAGGAUGCAUGAGCUAAACUUGCAAUUGAUAAGAUAUCUUCUUGAUUGGCUAUAUAUAAACUUUUUGGAGGCUCCUCAAUUCUUUAAAUUUGUCUUACCUAAGAAUGCAUCAUCAAUUUUUUUUUGGGGGUACAACGGGCUGAGUCAAGAUACAAUACGUAACAUAAAGAUGGGGUACAAUAUCAAUUCAUAUUCAUGAGAUUUCUCUGGAGUGAUGGGCAGCAAAGGAGCAUCAUCAAUUCUAAAAGAAUCUAACAAAUGGCUAAAGAUCUACUGAAUUCUUUAAUGGCGGAGCUUUAAUUUUUUUUCGACUAGAUAAUUGAAAGAAAAUGCCUUGAAUGAUAAUGUUUGAGGUGAUCUGGCAUGAAGACUAUCAAGUUAUUCUAGAAUAAUUUUGUACUACCAUCCCUAUUAACAUAUGAAACAUAUGUACUAUAUGGGUUAUCUCCAUGGGCGAGCAGGGACAUAAAUUGCGACUUGCUUUGGUAUUUCUUACCUAACAUAGCUAUUGUUCUCCAUUUAAAUCUUGACCCUGAAAAUUACAGAGAAUUAAAUAUGUAUUUAAAAUGUCACAUAGUUUAACCAGUAACAAUUAAAAAAAAGAAAGAAAGGUCCCUUCUACCUAAUCUCUCUCGUGCCUUAUAUGCGCAAAGAGUAGCAUAAAAAUGGCAGCAUAUGUUCUUCUUUUUCAUCAACAAUUGCAACAGCAAUAUAAUAUUUCUAAGCAAUGUUUUUCAGAAUGAACAUUAUAUUGCUAAAAAAUUGAGGCUAAGCCUCUAGAGGUCGGGUGGCUUGAUUUUGCUGGAAGAUGUAAGUUAGCAUUGGAAGAUUUGGUUCUUUGAUAAUUGGUUACUUGGGGUAUUUUCGCUAUCUGGUCUAGAUCUAUCUUGCUCUAAGAACUUUCUAAUACUAUUGACUCAUUUAAUUUUAUUUCUAUCACUGAUGUAUGUUUUUUGAUAGGUUUUUUAAUUUACCUUAUCAAAUAAGAUCUUGUUGAUCGUUUUUUUUAAAUUUACCUUAUCAAAGAGGAUUUAGAAUUCACCAUGUAAUAAAUGAUUGCAGUCAUUUUAAUUUGAUUCUCAAGGCCCUUUCCAUGAAUUGAUUCAUUAUUUGUCAUCGUCUCCUCAUGAAUUCUUCAUCACAAUCGAAACAUGAUUUUAAAUGACUACAAGAUGAUCUCAAUUAUUGAAGAAAUCCAUUAGAAAUUAGAUGAUUACAUCUAAAAUGGCAUAAGCUGAAAAUACGUUCGAAGAAAGAUAACAAGUUAAAAACUAAAACCUACAAGUUAUCAUAGCAAAUGUAGAAGUUACAAUAUAGCAGAGGGCAUAAAAGCCCAUCCAAUGUAGAAAACUUAGCCAUUUCUACAGUUUGAUGUGAUUUGCUAGAUCACCAUCUAAUAGACCCUUCGAUCAUUUAUAGAGAAACAAGGAUAGUUUCAUUUGUAAAAAAUUACAUUUGAGUAGUUGCUAUCUUUUAGUUAGGGAUUUCCUACGAUACUAGAUUUUCUCCAAGACAAAUAACUUCUUGUGUCCUUUUCUGCAUGACAUGUCCCUUUCUAGAAAAAGCCACGUGGCGCAUUCGGACGACCAAGAAAAGUGGUCGGCACAUAAGUUUAAAAUGUGUCAAACAGAAUAACUUGUUAACUUUAUCUGCUUAAUUAGUUGAAAAAAUUGUUGCAUAAAUAAGUGGUCAGCAAAUACUUCUAGAAUAAAAUAACAAAAGAUUUGAACUGGCACUUUAGUUGUGGGUUUAUUGGUUUAUUACUUCAAUCAUGAAAGAAAAUUACCUUGAACUAGAGGUGGCAAUGGAUUAUAUUAUAUUUUGUUUGGAUUGGGUCAAAUUAGGGCAACAUACAAACUUUGACUCCUCUUCGAUCCAACCAAGCACCGAGUUCCAAAUCUAAGGCCCGGAAACAAUCAACGGGUUGACCAUGAUUGCCUCUGGUUUGGGUUUAACCGCAACAUAUUCUAAAUCUCUGGUUUUUUUUUUUUUUUUUGCUACAACAGAUGACUCAUACACUUCUAGUAUAAAUAUAUCCAAAAAAGCCAAAAGAUAAUAAGUUUCAAAGUGCUAUAGGCAACUCCCUCUCACCAACCCAAACGGUUCCUCCAGAAUGAGCAGCCACAUACGAGGAUACCCAAUCCACAGCUUCAUUGGCCUUUUUGUAGAUAAAUUUAGCCGGAAAGACGACGUCUCCACCUACCAUGGCUCGAAUAUUCUGGAGCAAAGGAUGGCAGCCACCCAUUCUACCGGUGCCUCCUGGAUCCAGCCGAUCAUCAUAGUCGAGUCAUUCACCCACAACAACCACUCUGAAGUUUGAGCCUUUGAUGACGAAGUCUGCGCCACCCCUUCUGCCAUCGUCUAGCACGCAUCUAUCAAAGUUGAUCUUGAAAAAACUUGAAGAUGGGGGCUUCUAGGUGAAAAACACCGUCUGUGGCACUAUAAGAGUAGAUGUAGAGCCAUAGAUGCCCAAAACUAUCAAAGGCUUGUCCGAUGGACCUGCAUGGAUGAUUUUCGUUGUCUGUACCCGAGCUCACUCCACGAUGAAUCUAGGUGUAGGGCUGCUCUUUCCAACAGUUCAGGCAUUCUUAGCCAGCUAGAUAUGGUAAGUAGUAUAAGUUGCCACAAUGGCUACAUAUCGAAUUUGAGAAAUGGUGGCCCACUAUUUGAGCAUUGGAAAAAACCAACCAUGCGUAUGAUCCUUAUUCAAGGACAUGAAUCAACAAGACCUAAAUUAUCUUGAUUGAUAUAGAACUCUUCUCUUGCUGCCCGGGCGAGGUUAAGCUUUGAUCCAUAUUUGUUUAACUCAUGAGAAAAAGUUUGAUGCACGCUUUACCUAAACAACGUAACCUGGAACUAACUCAGUGCGAAGAGGAUUGAGCCAGGUUUCUGGGCUGGAUCAAAAAUUUGCCAGCUUUGCCAUAAAUCAAGUGGAAAUUAAAAUAUCUUAGAAAGAAUAAUAGCAGAUUAUCCAAGAGCAAGAAAUUUGAAUUGGUGCCGCCAACAUCCACUUAGCAUAGCUAAAUUUAGGGUAAUGUGAAACCGGAAUAAAAUUAUUUGCUUUGCCUCGUAUCUUAGUUAGAAAAUUAUGGAUUAAAUUUGCUUGCCUGUUAUUCUAUCUCCUGAAUUCGAAUUCUCCCAUUGUGGUUCCAAAAUUUCAGUUUAUGGAUUUUAUUUAGUAAAUCAUGUUCAAACAAGUUUAAGGCAUUGGAAACAAAUCUUUUUGGGCUCAACAUUAAUCAAAUAACAUUAAAUUAUACUCGUAACAUGCUCCAGUUUUUUUCGAGUUCAGAAUCAACCAAGCUGGCUAUGUCGCCGCUCCGGUAUUUAGCCGAGCUCAUAGGUAGCUUGGGGGAAGAUCAUCAUGGUGGCCAAGUUGAUUUAUAAGAUAUUGCGUAAGCUGUUUGAGAAUUUGUGCUCCAUUAGAUGUUACAGACCAGUUGAUUCGAUGCCAAAUCCAAAAUUAUUACAUAAAUAAUUCGAAAUAAAAAAAAGGUUUAUACAAGAAAAGUGAGCACUAAGCACUCCUUUAUUGUUGUGAAGCACACACAUGACACAUCCAACUGCAAUAUUUAUCAUACAUCUGAUCACAUCAAAUGGUUUGAUAGAGGCCGUCAAAAUGCAGGCCCAGGUGGUCCUGGGGGCCCACCAAAUAAUGGGCCACAACAAUCCCGGAGCAACCCGCAGCAACACAAGAAGUACAAGCUGCAAGCACAAAGAAAUAGCAGGUCAUAUUCGAUGGCUAUGGAUUAUUUUGCUAUGUAGAGAAUUAACCCUCUCAGAUAAAAUAGCAGAAGGCAUCUAUCUUCAAGUAAAAGGUGGGGGAAAAAUAAUUGCAAAUGAGAACAGUCUUCGCUCAAACAGCAUUAAAAAUUUUUCAUUAGGUUAAUAUAGUUAAUAAACAAUUUGUUCGCUAGUUUGAGCUACAUAAUAAGAGGUAGCAUUUCCUAUCGAUAGAAUAAGUCUGCUAGAUGCAAACAUGGCAACAAAAUUCUCUACCUGAACAGAAUAAUCCACUCGAUCGAUACAUAUAUCUUAGGAGCAUGGUCGAACUCACAACCUUUAGUAAACCAACAAGCCAUCAAAACAUAUAGAAUCAGGUGGUACUUAGCUAUUAGAUCAAAACAAAAUUGAGAAAGUAGCAUUCUACAUGCUUAAUGCCCCAAAAUAUGAGCUAACCUAUGUUAGUUUAUUUUUUUUUUUAAAAAAAAUAUGAAUAAUGAUCUAUAGAUAAUAUACUUUUUUUUUAGUAUUUAACUCCUUUUUUGACAGAGUUUAGAGAAGCAUUAGCUGAUUUUUCCACCAAAUAUCUAAGAUACAUUACUACAAACCUUCUGGUAUUAUAUAAAUAUGUGUAUCAAAAUUGUUCCAUGGAUAACACAAUGUUGAUAAAUCUUUGAGUUAGGACCAUAUAAAUAAUCAUCAUGUGCCAAAAAUAAAAAAAUGUUACUUAGAUCCACAGGCCAAGAACUAUACUUUAUGGUGGUUCCUCAUGGAUGUGCUGAAUACCAAAGUCACUGUGAAUCAAUUAACCAAAUCUCUCCAACCAUCCAACCAAAUGAGACCUAACUCAUGAUCAAAGUCUUCAAGGUUACAGCAUGAUCCUUGUGGAUGUACCCCAAAUAUGUUUGAGAAAUGCUCAUAUGUUUGAUAAAUUGUAAGGACUACAACAAAUUUUCUGUUUUUUUUAAGGUAACAAACAAUAAAUUCUGUGAAAACAUUAAAUUGAAUGAAAAAGAAAGAGAGAGAAGGCAAAUGUACCAUGAAGAUAAGCAGCCACACGGUCCAUCAAAACCACCACCCGGACCACCAGGCCCUGGCCCGAAACCGGGCGGCCCUCCAGGCCCUGGUCCAGGCCCAGGUCCUCCUGGUCCCAUUCUCUCUCUCUCUCUCACACACACACACACAAAGAUGAGACUAAGAGCCUCCAAAUCCAACAAGGAACGGUGAGCUAAGAAUCUCUAAAUCCAACAAGGAAAGAUGCUAAUAUAUAGAUAUAUAUAUAGGAGGAAGAGAGAAUGUUUUUUGGUUAACAAGCCAUAGCAAAACAAAUGACCGACCUACCAUUCCAAAUCUUUUCGUAGCUGCCCUUCCAAGAACUAGAAGUCUAACUUACGUGCACGUUUCUGUCAGCCACCUUUGUAUAUGGACAAAUUAAGGGUUUGGCUUGCCAUGACGUAGGUGGGCCUCGGAGUCUGGAUAGAGUCCUUAGAAGCAUCCAUGGAUGGCUCUAUCAUGUCUUCAGCUGUGGGCGAAAGCUCGCUGUUUAAUUCCGUAAGCAGACUGGCAAUCAGGUAUACAAUAAUAGUUAUCGAGCUAUCAGCAUUCAAGGAUGUAUAAGUGCCAACUAGAUUUUAGGAUAUUAAUAUUGAAUGACAUUUUUGUCGUUUAAAGCAUGAUAGCAAGUCCUAGAUUUUAUUGUAUAGCUAGAGGUGCAAAUGGGUCGGUCGGAUCAGAUGAGUGACCCAGACCUAAUCUAGUUCUUUGUUCGGGUUCUAAUUUUGGACCCAUAUCCAACUUAAUAGAAGAUCAGAUUGGAUCGGAUCCACUGCUAUAAUUUUUGACUCAACGGAUCAUUCGGGUCGAGUUAGGUCCAUAUAUAACCCUGACCCAACCAAAAAAAUUUGAGUCUGGUUCGGAUUUGGGUCGGGUCUGGUUCGGGUCAACCCAUCCCUGGCUCCAUAAUUUGUUUGUACCUUUACGGGUUGCGGCCUGCGGGUCCAAAUAAUAUUACAAAUUCGGGUUGGGUUGUAGGAUUGAAAAUUCAAAAUUAUUCAAAUUUCAAAUAAGUCGGAUCGGAUCGGGUCUAAAUUCAGUAAACUUAGACCCGACUCGAAAAAUAAAAUGGAUCCAAUUUUAGGACCAGACCCAACCUUACGAGUCCUGCAAAAUAGUUCGAGUCGGAUCAUGGGUCAAUCCGACUCAUUUGCAGCCUUAUAUACUGCUUACAAAGCAUGCAGGUCUUUUGCCUUUGUAUUUUCGAAUUAACUACUGUAGCUAUAACUUGUAGCCAGAUUUGCCGUAUAUUUGAUGAAAAAAAGAGAAAAAGCAAAGCUACAUGAAGCUACUAUCAAGACCUCGUAAUUGGUUAUAUAUUAUGUAGUUUCCCAUAGGGCACGACAAGGAUAGUAAUACAUUAUCUUGAGAAAAAAAGCACCAAUUCUACUGUAUUAGUUUGCUGAAGGAAGAGGGACUCUGGUAUCGAAUUUUUUAAUAACAGUAUCUAUUAGAAAUGAAUUCUCUAGCAUUUGAUUCCUUACCGCCGAAGGAUUUAUUAGUACACUUGAAAGAUAACCUAGAAAAUAGAAAGAACAGUUUGAUAAUUGGUUUAUAUGGAUCCUGUACGGUUGAGACCAAAAGUGAAAAUAAUAUUGCCAAAAAUGGACAAGGUAACAUUUCCAUUUCUUCAUCAGAAGAUGAGUCCCCUUUGAAACCAGAAUUGUUUUUCCUUGAUAUCGAACACACACAAGCUGGUAGUAGCAUCGGCCUAUCAGUUCCCUGCAAUAGUUUCAUGGAUUGGAGAGAGUUUUCUAGCUGGCUUUCUAAAAUUUAGCAAGUAUGGGUAAUUGAAGCCAGCAUAAGGGCACUUGGGAUUGAUUGGAGCAGGACAGCAACAUAAUGCUACCACAUUUGGUCGUGCUUAAACUCCACUUUGAUCCCUCUCGAAAAUUUCGCUCAUAUCAGAGUUUGCUUCAUGGAGUUUUAAAAUAAAGCAUUACAGCUAUGGUUGCAAUAUUCAUACGGUUAAAGCAAAAAAAUUCGAACCACAAUUUGUUGGAAUCGCAAUGGAUUGCUGAAAGUGGAGUGUGCGCUGCGCUCUUUGUGAGAACUCGUACGGACGUGUGUUUAGUUUUACAUUAGUUAUUUACUGGACAGAUCUUUGAUACUUAUAUAUAUCAAGAAACUUAAAUAAUACCUUUCAGCUAAUCUUUUUUGGAUGAGAUUCUGGGUUGUUAAAAUGGUAUCAGAGCGAACUUGGCCCAUAGCCUAUGUGGACUAGGUGCGGGCAUGUGUUUAGUCUCACAUCGGUUAUUCGCCAAGAAGAUCUUUGAUACUUAUACAAGACUAAUAAACUUAAAAAAUAUCUUUUGGCUAGCCUUUUUAAAUAAGAUCCUAGCAUCGGAUGUAAACCUAAGCCGGUCCAUCUUUUAAAUUGAGAACCAAAUGUAUCACCUAAGUUUUUUUAUUAACAAAACAAUAGGUGUAUCGUCCAACAAACUAAACUACUUUAAAGUAGUUUAUAAUCUUUCGCCGAUCAAAUGCAAUUUUUUUAUCUCUUCUUGAUAAUUAGUUUCGAAAUAUUCAAUAAAAUUGGAUGUUUGCAGAUCAAGGACAACAUGAUCAGAAACAUGUUUGUGGAACAUUCAUUAAAAAUUGAAGAUCAAUCAUGUGGUUUUUUUUUUUUUGCUUUGAAAAAGGGGCNNNNNNNNNNNNNNNNNNNNNNNNNNNNNNNNNNNNNNNNNNNNNNNNNNNNNNNNNNNNNNNNNNNNNNNNNNNNNNNNNNNNNNNNNNNNNNNNNNNNNNNNNNNNNNNNNNNNNNNNNNNNNNNNNNNNNNNNNNNNNNNNNNNNNNNNNNNNNNNNNNNNNNNNNNNNNNNNNNNNNNNNNNNNNNNNNNNNNNNNNNNNNNNNNNNNNNNNNNUUAGCGGUUCAAGAGCGGUCCUACACCACAAGUCCAAGCAGUGGCCAAAGUAGUAAGCUCCGGUCCACAAUUUAAUCGUCGCCGCAGCGAUUCGAACUUGGGACCUUGUGGUUAGAAUUGCUGCCCAGUACCACUAGGCUACCACCUUGG
rnacentral:lncRNA from 1 species